ensembl:lncRNA
AAAACAUCACCUACAUCACAAACGCGGAAGUCCGGGACGCAAUACUGAACCUGACUUUGACGGCUCUGGCUCCCAAAUUCCCUCUCUUCCAAACCAGUGACUAUGAGCUGUGGUUCCAAAUUAAUCUCGUGGUCCUGCUGGCCAGCUUCAGUCCUUCAGUUUUGGUGGUGAUCCCCGCCAACCUCACCUGCGACUCUUACGACGCAAUAUUGAAAGGCAUGGAGAACGCUUUGGCGGUUCUCCCAACUGGAGUUGGAGUGGAGCUGAAGUCAAGCAAAGACAAACUUCGACAGUCACCACCAGAAGGUAUGGCCUGAGCAGCUCCCUUCAAAUACGUAAAGAUCGCAGUGUUGUUCUUUGGUAAACCAAAAGAGUCCUUACCAAAUGCAGGUGAAUGUAAGCAAUUUGCAAGUGGCCUCCCAUUGACAGAAAUCUUGUUUGUCUUGGUUUUUUCCUCAGGCUGCACGCCCCCUCGCCCUGUGGGUUUC